CGACUGUACAAUUUAUUUACAAACACGAUUUGGCAUAUAUUACAAGGACAGUCAAUGGGUUGCUGAGACUGAUGAAGAUUGAAGACAAUAAUAAACAAGUAGAGAGGGCGCAGGAACUGCAUACUAUUUUAGGUGUCACCCAAAUGUGUUUUCUCCACUGUAUGUAACAUAGAGAAACCCAUCCUCAUCCUUCCUCUCAUCAUAGAUUGCAGACAUUAGUGAUCCUGUUGGAGGUAGCACAUUGUCCACGAAUAUGAAAAUUGCCUUCUCUGCACUCAAUUUUAUUCUCUUCCGGAUAACGUAAACAAAUUGACCAACAGUCAGGUCAGCAGGCACUAGAUACUUUUUCUUGUCAAUGUUGGGAAUAUCACUUCUCUCUGCCUUCUCCACGAUUACUGGAAUUCUGUCUGGG
rnacentral:misc_RNA from 1 species